rnacentral:rRNA from 1 species
AACGAACGCUGGCGGCAGGCCUAACACAUGCAAGUCGAACGGUUCCUUCGGGGACAGUGGCAGACGGGUGAGUAACGCGUGGGAAUCUACCUUGUGGUACGGAACAACCAAGGGAAACUUUGGCUAAUACCGUAUGAGCCCUUCGGGGGAAAGAUUUAUCGCCAUAAGAUGAGCCCGCGUAGGAUUAGCUAGUUGGUGAGGUAAAGGCUCACCAAGGCGACGAUCCUUAGCUGGUCUGAGAGGAUGACCAGCCACACUGGGACUGAGACACGGCCCAGACUCCUACGGGAGGCAGCAGUGGGGAAUAUUGGACAAUGGGCGCAAGCCUGAUCCAGCCAUGCCGCGUGUGUGAUGACGGCCUUAGGGUUGUAAAGCACUUUCGCCGAUGAAGAUAAUGACUGUAGUCGGAGAAGAAGCCCCGGCUAACUUCGUGCCAGCCGCCGCCGUAAUAC